CAGGACUUGCAUAGGAAUUGCAACACCUGUGGCCUAGACUGCCCCUCAAGUUCACUUAGGGCCCCAGAGCACUCCAGCACACAGUGGCAGGGCUUUUAUCAAGUCAUGCUGGGAUAGAUAAUUCUGUCUGGUUAGGGCCAGUCCAAAUGCUCCCUCUGUGGGCAGAUGUCAGCUGAGUACAGCCCAGUUCUGCUUUCCACUGUGAUGGGGCAGCACUGAGUUCAGUGCAAAACCUCAUAAUCACCACACUCUCCCUCUUCAAAGCACACAGAUUCUCCACACCAUGCAGCCACUUCUGAGGAAUGGGGAACAGGUGGCAUCAGCACUUCAAGACUGUCUUUCUUGCUCUCUUCAAUAAUUCUUUCACUGAUAGAAGUUAAAACCAGGCAGAGGUGGCUGAGCAGUCCUGGUCUCAGAAUUCUCUCACGUUCCUGGUAAUUGACUAUUGGUUGAUCUUGGCUGAGAUGACUCUGGUGACUUGCCGGUUCCCACGUUGUGUGUCCCAUCCUCCAGGAGCCAGACUGGGCAUGUUGUCAUGGUGAUGACAGAAGGCAAGAACAGAAACGUAAAUGGAAACAUGCAAGUACUCUUUCGAGCAUUUGUUUGUGUCACAUCUACUAACCUCCCAUUGGAUAAAGCAAGUCACAUGGCUUUUAAUGAAAGAGUUAAAGCUUUAACAACACCUCUGGAGGCUUCCAUAGUCAAGAAUUUUGAGGUUUAGUUGAGUAAAAUGGCAGAGUCAAAAGAAUAAACCAUCAGAUGGAAUGUCUUAGGAAGACUGCAGUAACAAGAAAUUUUAAGAGCUUCAAGCCAGGAAGAUCUUAGCUUGAAGAAAUCCUCACCCCACCAUUUUAUAAAUAAAUAAAUAAAUAAAUAAAUAAAUAAAUAAAUAAAUAAAUAAAAAAAAAUAAAGCCCAGAGGGGUUCAAGUGCAUUUUCAAAGGGAGAGAGAUGGAGCUAGAACAAGAAUCCAAGUCUUUUGCUCAGCCCAGUGUUCCUUCUGUUGCCUGAAGUUUCUCUGGCCAUUGGCCACUCGGCUCCUCUAUAAUGUUCACCUCUAACCUUUGUUUUCAUUUUCCUAUCAUCCAACUGCGUGAUAAUAAAUUGGUCUCAGUACUCUGUUUUCUUAAUUCCUAGUAGAAGCUGAAGGCAUUGCUUUUCUCCUGGGAACACUGUUUGGUGCUGACUGAUUGGAGGUGCCUCCCCUGGGUUUGCAGAGGGAGCAAGGUUUUAGUUCCUGGAAAAUUUAAUACACAAUUUGAUCUUUGCUACUCUACUGAACUUCUCCUAAGCUUGCCUUUCCUUAUCUCCUUGCUCUCCCAGCUGCCAGGUAAUUUGAUCUGGAUCUGUCUUAUCAGUCCUAGGCCAGCAAGCAGGUGAUGAAUGAGGGGCUGGGGAAGCAGCUGUCUCUUCUUUGAGGCCACCGGCAUUUUUGGAAGAGACUCUAUGCGUGGCAGUUGCUGGAAAUGGAGAGUUCUUGGCAUUCCUGGGGCUUUACAGUGGUCUGGUCAUUGAGGCUCCCUACCAGAGGACAGAAUUUCCCUGGCUUAACCCUGGUUGAUCUUAAAAUAAUCACUCACACUUAUAAAUCAUAUUCAGAGUCUUGAAUUGAACUAGAGUGUAAAAUAGUGCUGCAGAUGGAUUAUUCAUCCUUCUGAAAGAGAAGCCUUAAUGGUACAAUGGUGGUGCUGCCCCAAGUAACCUGGAUAGGUCUUAUGCUUCAGAUGUGAGAUUAAAGGAUCAAGGGGAAGCUGUUGAGUCAUGGCAUCUGACCCACUUAAACCUGUUAGACUCUCUUCAAGAAUCUAAUAUGUCCUUUGAGAGGAAUCACCUCUGAGUUGUAUCUCUUCUGCAUGGCUACAGGGAGAAAGCCUGCUAUAUCUACUGGAAUAAAAAAGGAAGCAGAGAAAAUGGAAUCUAGACAAAUGGAUAUCCGGAUCCAGCUGGACAAAGCCCUGUGAUGUUAAAGCCACCAGUCUGACUCUGUAGGACACUGUCGCUACCACAUCCCAAAAGGAAAUGUACCCAGCCUGCCUACUUGCCACUCAGCAUCCCUCCCAGGGGAAAGAGCUAUGCCUUAGGGGUGUGAUGUCACAAACAAGUCAACCAUCGUUUAGAGGCAUCAUUUCAAGGUUCCCCCUCUCUGCUUCUCAGCUUACUUUCCCUCUGCUGCUGUCACCUGGCUGUCAGCAUCCAAAUUAGCACAGAGCCCCAACCCAAGCAAGCAUCAACUGGAUUGUCAGCCCAGUGAAUGACCCACCCUGGGGACCUGCUGUUAUACCCUGCCUCAGCUGUCACCUUCCUGUGGCCUUCCUCUUUCCCCGGGCAUGCAGAGCCAUGAAAACAGCAGUAAGCUUCUCCCUGAGAAAGAAAAAGCUGCGUGUAAGGUCAGGUAAACACAGGGCCAGAGAAAGCUCUCCCUUCCCCCAUCCCACAGACACAUCUUAUCCUCGCCCCAAGCUAAGGACCUCUAAAUCCAGCCACAGUAGCAAUGCUGGGAUGGCAGGAAAAUGUUCAGCCUGGAAACCACAACCUCUGCAGCACAGCAGCCAGCACCAGUGAAGGACAUGGAGUUAAAUCGAAAAGGAAUUUGAAUGACAAAGUGACAUUAUGUCUAUCUCCCUAAUGAUGGGACAAGUUGGUCUUCUGUCAUUGGCAAGGCAAAACUGCCAGGACCAGAUGUGUAUUUAAAAGCUAUUUCUCAUGGUUUUAAGUCACCAGGUCAGCUCGAUACCUAAAACAAAGAGAAUGAAUUAUGGAACAGGACGAGGGGAGCUUGUUAAUUUUCCUACUGAUGCACUGUGAAAUGAAAGCUUUAUUCUAAGAAUGGUAUAUCCUCAGGGCUCUCUCUGGAGAGACAAAUUCAAAUGUCCUUACUGUUUUCUUUGUCCCUUACUUUAUGGCUUUUUCUGUACACAUUUACGAAGUAUAUAUAUUUCAUGGUAUGUCUGUGUCUAUAGGACUCAGGGAGUUCAAGUCUGUGAUUCUCUUUAGGGCUUCCUUGACAAUAAGGAGUGCUUAGGUGAUGUUAUUGAUGAAUACACACACACACACACAAUUAGAAUUUGUGGCCAGCCUGUCUGUAUAUAUUAUAGAGACAUCCAUGCAGGCUGCUUGCUAUUGUCUGCACUAGUGAGCUAUAGCCCAUCUCCAAUUGGAACCCAAUGAAAUAAUCAUAACAAUUUUGCCUUCAUGUAUCACCUUUCAUCAGGGAGGAUGAAAGGACUUCACAAACUCUGGGUUCUUCUUUGAUCUAGGCGCCUAUCUGGUACACCGAUCUCCAUUGUGUAUUCUGCCCUCACCCUGCCGAUGGGCCUCCCAUUGACAGUAAUUGAACUUCCAUAUGCAGAGCAGCCAAAAGGCCGGCCUGGCCAGAGAGACUUCUGUCAGCUGCCAGGAGGGAGAGGGCUGCUUCCAGAAGGGACUUGGGUUGCUGUUCUGCAUCUGCAACAGGGGGCAGGGAUUAUAAAUGUGGGGAAAGAGGCAAGUAAUUCUUAAGCUGCAACUUCAGUUUGAGAGAGGGGUGCUUAAUAGGAGAUGGAGGAACAUUCUAGGUAACAUGAUAAAAUAAAUCUCCAGAAUGUGGGUGUUGCCUAAGGCUCUGCUCUUCACUGUCUUCUCUUCCAUAUCGACUUUAGCUAUUAGCUUUAUGGGAAGGACUCCGAAAUAUGUAUCCCAGGCUCAAACUCUCUUGGGUCUAGCCAGGCAUCUCUAGCUGUCUCCUGGGCAUUUCCAUCCACAUAUUUCACUGGAACAUCAAUCACAGCUUCUACCAAAUAUUAUAUAUGAUUCUUCCUCCUCCUUCACUCUCAAAUAGCUCCCUUCCCUGACCUUCCUACUUGUAGUCACUGAUGUUACAGCCACAAGUAAUUUAGCCAAUAUCUGUGUUCUCGUGGAGCUUGCAUUUUAGAGAGGGGUGAGAGAAUCCAAUAAACAAGCAAUAAAUGAAGAAGAGAAAUAGCAGGAAAUGAUAGUUUAGGUGGUGAUGGGUUAGGGGUGUGGACCUCUUUGGACUGAGUGACCAACAUUGGCUUCUCCAGGGAGGAAACUAUUCCAGGUGCAGGGAACAGCAAGCACCAAAGCCCUGAGAGAGCCAAGGCCCCAAACAGAAAAGAUGCUGAGCUGCUGGAGCAUGAUAACAGGAGAGUGGGAGGAGAUGAGGUUAGAGAGGUGGCCAGUGAUUAGAUGAGGUGAGGCUUUGGUGAUGGGAUGCAGAGUUUGGAAUCUAAGCCAAGUGCUGUCCAAAGCCAGGGAGGGUUUCCAGCAGCGGCUUGUGGGAGCUGAUGUCCAUUAGUAGCACCUCUCAGCUGAGACUUUGAGUCACUUUGACUCUUCUCUGUAUCACACACCUCUCUCCAUACAGGCAGUGUCUAAUGUGGAAUGAGAGAAAGGUUUUGGUAACCCUCCAACUCCCUUUGCUUCUCCCCUCCAGGGUCCCGGACAGAGUUUUCUGUGUUCAAAAGAACUAGAAGCCAAACAGAAAAUAAAGCAUCCUUUUUGUGAUCGCUGGGAAAGGACAACAUACCCUUCAGGCUGUAAAUGUGGCUUAGGCUAGCAGACUAAAGCUUAGUUUCCCAAUUUUUCUGAGAAUAUAGAUCUUGGGACCCACCUGCUCAGGCAUGCUUGCUGUUGGAGGGGGUGAGAAUGGGUGGUCUCAUGGAGAGUGGUUGCUACACCCAUCUCCCAGCUGCUGAGAGUGUUGUCUGCUAAGGAAAUCACAGCUGCCCUCCUCAGAGAAUCGCCAUUGGGAGGUUCCCCACCUUCCCACCAGGGGCAGCAUGUAAUCCAUGACUGGCAUAGGGUACAAAAGGCAGGCCCCUUACCUCUAGGUGAGACAAUUCUGUGGUACAGUUCAUACUCCAGAGCUCCCGUGGGAACAGGUCCAAGAAGUGUCCAGCUGAGACCCCAACCUUGCUCAGUCCUCUGCUGCACCUGGCUUACCUUCCCCCCUUCUCCUGAGAGCAUUUUCUCAAGAGACAUGUGCACUUCAUCAUCUUAUCAGGAUCUGCUUCUACGGAAUGCAACCUAAGACAAGUGGAGAUAGAGCCAGGCCUUUUAAGGAGCCCUGACAAAUCUCUACAAAAUUUCCAUUCACUUCUCCCUUUUAAAUUCAUUCAUUUAUUCAACAAAUACAUUGAAACAUGUUUUGUACACUCUGGCACACAAGAAAUCAGGUAGGCACAGCCCAUUCCCUCAUAGAGCUUACAAACCAGGAAGAAAGGCAGACAUCAAACUGGUAAAUGCAUUCAUUUGGGUGCAUCAUGUUGAGAGUAGUCUUCGUCAUUGUAAUGGGACUGUUUGCCUCCAAGUCCCUAUUUCUAAGACGAUGAAGGAACAGGAGUAAGCCCGGACACCAGAGCCUUUCUUCUGCUUUGCGAGCUGCUGAUAUGUAGCUGGGAUCUCUUUGUGUCCCCGCUGGGCUGACACUCACCAGUGAGCCAAGAAGGGAGGGGUGGUUAAAGGCGUGAGGACCCCGAAGGGGACCCCUUGAAAGUGCUCACUCUUCCUUCUACUAAUUAUUUUGUUUUUUUAAAAGCUUGCCCUGUUUAGUCUCUCAGGAGGUUUUCCUGCCCACGGGGGGUAUGGCUGCCUCCCAGGAGAAUCUGGCCAGGAUUUACACCACCCAGCCCACAAAAUCCUGAACAGCUCAGGACCAGCCCAUGCUAUUGUGAGCUGAGAGUCACUCUUCAGUUCUCAUGAUUGCAGGUAAAUAAAUGUUCCAGCCGUCCCGAGCUCUCACAUGAAGACUACCUGCCAAGGAAUUUUUUCCUCUGGGACCCAUGGCCACAUUGCUGGGCUGAGACUUUCUUGCAUUCAUAGAAUUCCCCUGUUACAACGGCCACUAGUCAGCUCCCAUUGCCUUAGUUUCCUGCUUGAAGGAGGUAGAAGAGAACUGCUGGCUGAUGCUUGUUUAAUUCACUGUGAAGGGUGCAGUUUAAGGAAGAUCUCCCUCAAAGGCAGCCACAUUCCGGACUCCUCUAUAAGUGCUUACUAAUGGAAGAGAUAAUUUGGGGUCAGGGCCAGCUUCGUGGGCCCCUGACCUGUGCAGUUUACAUAGGACUCCACACUUAGAAGGGCCCUACUCUUGGUUUAAUGUUCUGUUAUUGCUGUCUUAAAAUUCUUAAUAAUUUCUAAACAAGGGUCCCUACCUUUUCAUCUUACCUUAGGCCCCACAGAUUAUGUAGCUAGUCUGGUUUGGGAUCAUGCAUCAAGACUUGUUCCAGGUUGCCUGCCAAGAGGCAGAGAGAAAGGUAAAACUUCCCUUGGAUCUCUUUCACCCCAGGAUGCUGGUGAAUUCUAAAGGCACAGGGGCAGAUUUCUGCAGUUGAACAGUGUCUCUGGGGAGAGUAUAUUCACAAUACAGAACCAUCAGUCUGUACAGAGCCCAACGUGGUGGACAGUUGCUGACUGUCAGGGGUAGCUGCAGAGGGAGAAUGGAGAUGUAGGAGCAGGAAAAAUCUGCUUGAUUGUGAAUAGAACUAGAUCUGUUUUUUCUUGGUAUGGCAGGUGUUUGGAGCUGAUCAUUUUUCUUAGGGAGCAUCUGGGGGCUCCUUGAAGGUCUCCUGUUGGCCCUUCACUGGGUGUUCCCUUCAUCCUAACAGAUGCUUCUCGCUUCCAGGAGUCAGUUGAGGGCUCUUCCACAGCCCCUAGAGAUCCAGCAUCUCCCCUCAGCUCCUGGGGCCCCUGUUGAGAUGAACCCAAGCAAAUCCCA
rnacentral:lncRNA from 1 species